CACUAUGUAAUGCCUGCUGGUCUGUCCAAUUAACUGUGUGCACAGUGGGGCACUCGGACUCCUAGUACUGUAUGAUCUGGAGCGCUAGGAUUUAGAAGCACCAAGUCAUAUUGUACACAGGCUUCAAAUGUGAUGUGGGAAACAGGCCCUUAAGUCCUUCAUUAAGAGCUCAAGAAAGGUGGUGAAUCAACAGCCUUGGAGAAUCUAGUGCUGCAGAGACAUCCCCGCGUGACAGCCCAUCAUCUAGUGUUUGUGAGAGGUGCUGGAUUGAUUGCUUCUGGAAACAGAGAAGGCCUUUAUCCGUAGAACAGCACCUUUCAUCAAGGGAUCUCUGUGCUUUACAACCAAUAAUGAAUUAAGCCUCACUACGUCUUUACGAGUGAGGUAAGUAUUACUACCCUCCUUUUAUGGUUGAAGAAAAAGAGGCUGACUUAGCUAAUGUCACAAAAGGAAGUUAAUAGCACUGGGAAUUAGA